rnacentral:rRNA from 1 species
AGAACGAACGCUGGCGGCAGGCUUAACACAUGCAAGUCGAACGGUAAGGCCCCUUCGGGGGUACACGAGUGGCGAACGGGUGAGUAACACGUGAGCAACCUGCCCUUGACUCUGGAAUAACAGCUGGAAACAGCUGCUAAUACCGGAUACGACCUCCUGCGACAUCGCACAGAGGUGGAAAGCUCCGGCGGUCAAGGAUGGGCUCGCGGCCUAUCAGCUAGUUGGUGGGGUAACGGCCCACCAAGGCUUCGACGGGUA